rnacentral:rRNA from 1 species
AACGAACGCUGGCGGCGCGCCUAAUACAUGCAAGUCGAGCGAGAAGACGUAGCAAUACGUUUGUAAAGCGGCGAACGGGUGAGGAAUACAUGGGUAACCUACCCUCGAGUGGGGAAUAACUAGCCGAAAGGUUAGCUAAUACCGCGUACGCUCCUUGGACUUCGGUUCAGGGAGGAAAGCGAUACCGUGGGUAUCGCGCUCUUGGAUGGGCUCAUGUCCUAUCAGCUUGUUGGUGAGGUAACGGCUCACCAAGGCUUCGACGGGUAGCUGGUCUGAGGGGACGAUCAGCCACACUGGCACUGCGACACGGGCCAGACUCCUACGGGAGGCAGCAGUAAGGAAUAUUGCGCAAUGGGCGAAAGCCUGACGCAGCGACGCCGCGUGGGGGA